rnacentral:rRNA from 1 species
AUUGAACGCUGGCGGCAGGCCUAACACAUGCAAGUCGAACGAGUGGCGGACGGGUGAGUAAUGUCUGGGAAACUGCCCGAUGGAGGGGGAUAACUACUGGAAACGGUAGCUAAUACCGCAUACCAUCGGAUGUGCCCAGAUUGGAUUAGCUAGUAGGGGGGGUAACGGCUCACCUAGGCGACGAUCACUAGCUGGUCUGAUAGGAUUACAAGCCAUACUGGAACUGCGACACGGUCCAGACUCCGACGUGAGGCAGCAGUGGGGAAUAUUGCACAAUUGGCUCAAGCCUGAUGCAGCCAUGCCGCGUGUAUGAAGAAGGCCUUCGGGUUGUAAAGUACUUUCAGCGAGGAGGCGUUACUCGCAGAAGAAGCACCGGCUAACUCCGUGCCAGCAGCCGCGGUAAUUC